GGCUCAAAGAGGCGCUGCAAACUGUGAUUACUGCUGCUAAUAACUGAUAUGUUUGACCUUUAGCUAACUGUAGAUGGUAGCUCCAUUAUUUACUUGUGGUGGAUGCAUUUUAAGACUGUUUGCUGUUCAAAUACCUGCAGGAGCUGUAGGAUCACAGCACGGAAUUGCAUGGAUUGGAAGGGAGCUCUAGAGACCAUUGAGUCCAACCCCUGACAUCUGAACGUUACACAAAGGUCUAUUUUGGAAGCUGGUUUAAAAAAAAUUAUUUCUCAAUAGUAAUCCUUGCCUGACUACUUCUCAAAAUGGGGAAUGAAACAGCAGUCCCUGCACUCAGCCAAACCUGCACAGAACAGAAGACGCACGCCUUGAAGCAGAGCUGUAUUGUCACAGAGCAGAAAGCCUUCCCCACGCUCAGCUGUGAGUCCUGCCCCUGCUGAGGACAGCUAAGGCUUUGCAGCAGCGUGGCCUGGCACGUGCAUGGCAAGGAAUCUUCUGCUCGGCUUCCUGGUGAUGCACAGAACCAACCGCCAAGCACUGCUCUGUGCUCCUCACCUUCUCAACCCGCCUGCAAAGGGCCCUGCAGGGUCAUUCUUAGCUGCAAGGAAGAAGUGUUUUCCCAUAGGCUGCUGUGCUGCUUCUGUGUCACAGGGAACAAAGCAGAGAGAAAAAAUUAUGCAGACAGCAAACACUGUAUGUGAGUAAAAUAGAACAGAAAGCAUGUGAGGCAUAUACAGCAGCGUGCCUAUAUGAUCUUCAGAGCUACUGAGGACAAAAGGGAUCCCAUAUGGUGUUACAUUGCUGAUCCACGACACGUUGCACUUCUGCUCUUUCCUGAACCGGGUAAGAACGAAAUAAAAAGGUGAUUAAUACAGUCAUAAAAGCAUACUUUAUGGAGAUAAUUCCGGGGGGAAGCAGCAGCUACGGAUAGGAAAGGAGUUCAGCUGAAAGGACGGCGGGAACUCCUCCCGGCAGCCCACCCGGCCGUGCCGGAACCCCGCGUCAAAUCACAGAGCCGUUCCGGUUGGAAAAGAGCUCUCCGAUCCCCAACCCGCCCCGCCUGUCCGCGGCCCUCGGCGCCACAUCCCCGCCGCUCCUCAGCACCUCCGAGGACGGAG
ensembl:lncRNA